CCUACGGGAGGCAGCAGUCGAGAAUCAUUCACAAUGGGGGAAACCCUGAUGGUGCGACGCCGCGUGGGGGAAUGAAGGUCUUCGGAUUGUAAACCCCUGUCAUGUGGGAGCAAAUUAAAACGAUCGUACCACAAGAGGAAGAGCCUGCUAACUCUGUGCCAGCAGCCGCGGUAAUACAGAGGUCUCAAGCGUUGUUCGGAAUCACUGGGCGUAAAGCGUGCGUAGGCUGUUUCGUAAGUCGUGUGUGAAAGGCGCGGGCUCAACCCGCGGACGGCACAUGAUACUGCGAGACUAGAGUAAGGGAGGGGGAACCGGAAUUCUCGGUGUAGCAGUGAAAUGCGUAGAUAUCGAGAGGAACACUCGUGGCGAAGGCGGGUUCCUGGACAUUAACUGACGCUGAGGCACGAAGGCCAGGGGAGCGAAAGGGAUUAGAUACCCGUGUAGUC
rnacentral:rRNA from 1 species